rnacentral:rRNA from 1 species
UACGUAGGGUGCGAGCGUUGCCCGGAUUUAUUGGGCGUAAAGGGCGCGUAGGCGGCUCGGCACGUCCGUUGUGAAAUCGCCCGGCUCAACUGGGCGGGGUCAGCGGAUACGGUCGAGCUUGAGCAAGCUAGGGGGUAAUGGAAUUCCCGGUGUAGUGGUGGAAUGCGUAGAUAUCAGGAGGAACACCGGUGGCGAAGGCGGGUCUCUGGGCAGUAACUGACGCUGAGGAGCGAAAGCGUGGGGAGCGAACAGG